AACAUUGCAUUUUCUGUUAUCUUUAAAUACAUGAGAGUAUGUUUUCCAGUAAUAGUAUUAAUGGCGUCUGACCGAGCGAUAGGCUAGUCCUAUUUUUUUCCAUGCUGUUUUCAAGCAGUGGUUAUUGAAAGGUCAUAGGUGGUUAGUAACCUGAAACAAAUGUGCUGUCGACAGCUACAAUGAUUUCGUGCUCUUUUUGUAACAAAACGCUGAAGACGUUGAGGGGUUAUGUGCUGCAUUGUAGAGUUCACAGGAACGAACCCCAUCAUUUUUUCAAAUGCAUCGGUAGUGACUGCAAGCAUACAUUUUAUGCUUACGCGGCCUUUAAAGCCCAUUUCUAUCGGGUUCACAAUGUACCUGCACCCCCUAUUGCUGGUAGCGCCAUUUUUACAGACUUAAAAUGUGCUACUACACUCUGUGAGCGCCAGUUUCACACGGUGAAAGAACUUAUAUCCCACUUAAAACAGCAUAUAGUGGAGGGGCGACCUGUGGCAUGUCCAGUAACUGGUUGUAAAAGUAUGUUCUCUGUGAAAUCGUCAUUUACUGCUCAUAUGUCCAGAAAACAUAGAGAAUGCUCUGUUGAAAGCAUAAGCGACAUGUAUAGGGGGACACUUCCUCAGUCUUCUGCUGUAUUUGCAGGUGAAGAUGCUCCCCAGAGCUUAAAUGAGGCAACAACAAAUGAAGGCACUGAACUGCCACAGAAUUUCAGUGAGGCCUUCCUUAGGAAUGUGUGUUUGUUUUACCUAAAACUGCAAGGGCAGCUCCUUCUUCCAGCUUCAACAAUACAGACAAUUGUUGAAGAGAUGCAAAACGUGCAUUUGUUGGGCCAGGAUUAUGCUUUAGGUAAAUUGCAUUCACUUUUAAAAAAUGACUUGUGCCUAACAGAUGACACUAUUGUUAAAAUCUGUGAUUGUAUUAAGGAGUCAGAUCUGUUUUCUACCUGUCAUAAGGGCCCACUGAGAACAACAUACACAAGAACUCAGACAUUCAAAAAGAUAUUCAAAUACGUAGAGCCUGAAAAAUUAACAUUAGGAAAUGAUGAAAAUAUGACACCACGGUUUGCCUACUAUAUACCAGUGAAACAAACACUAAGCAGCUUAUUAGAAUCAGAAUUAUGGAAGAAUUCAGUGUCACAGCAGUCUUGUGAAACUGACUCUGAGGCUUUUGGAGACAUAAGUGAUGGACAAAGCUUUAAGUCCAACAAGUUUUUCAUUGACAAUCCAGGAUGCCUGAAGCUAAUUCUGUACCAGGAUGCAUUUGAAAUUGUUAAUCCUCUUGGCUCCGCUAAGAAAAAACACAAAGUGGUUGCAGUCUAUCUGUCAGUGGCAAAUUUGCCUGCUCAUUUGCGGUCCAAUACUGAUCACAUGUCCCUUGUCUUACUAUGUGGAGAGAAUGACCUUAAAAAAUUUGGAAACGCAAAGGUUUUCUCAAAAGUGGUAGAAGAUUUAAAAGAUUUGGAGGAAAAUGGUAUCAUUUCUGGUGAUGAAAUAGUCAAAGCAGCUUUGCACAGCAUUGCUGGUGAUAAUUUGGGUUCACACAACAUUGGUGGGUUUACUGAGAACUUCAGUCGCUCUGAAUACUUUUGCAGAUACUGUGAAAUCACACGAAGGGAGUUUCAGAGUAAUGAUCCAAAUGUCUGUGGUCCACAGCGCACACCUGAAAGCUACAAUUCUGCUGUGGGCGAUCUACAAGCUGAAGGCAGUCAAGAAAUCAAAGGGAUAAAGUGCGUCAUUCUUCGUUGAUUCCAGAAAUGACCGACUUUGAACCAACGUUGCUAAGGACUGCAAUCAAUGAGGUCCUGCCUGACCUUCCAGAAGUGACAAAGGAUAUUCUUGAAGAAACCUUACAAUCAAUUGGGGUAGAGACAAAUGAUGAUUUUCAGUUCAUUGAAGAAUCUGAUUUGCACUCAGCCUUGAGGCCAGUUCAAGCACGAAAAGCCAUUGCCGCUUGGAAACUGAGAUGUCAUACUCCUGAAAACAGCAGCUCAUCGCUUGGUGCAUCGCCACAACCUCCUGAAUCCUCACAAUCUGUUUCACCUAAAUCACCCUCAACCUCCUCCAGCAGCAGUCAAAGUCUUUGUGUAGACUCGAUGGAUACAUUCCAGAUACCAUGGAACAAGUUUCCAGAAGAAUUGAUGCAAUCACUGGAGAGAGGAAAACGGCCAAGUCCACGCAUGAGAAGGGAAAUGGUCCGGAUUGUGGUUUCUGAGAUGAUGAAAAAAGCUCUAGGAUAAGUAAAAGGAACUCUACUGAAGUUGCCAAAAAGAUGGUGGCAAAAUAUCCAAAAUCUCUGCAAGACAUAAUAGAGGGAGAUGUGAUUGGUCCAGGGUAUCACUCUCUAGUCAAGCAAUUGGAGUACAGAAUUGACAAUGUGAAGCGAUGUACCACCCCAAAAAUAAGAAAAAGAAAGCAUCAUACUGAUGAGUCUGACACAGAGUCUGUUCCUUCAGAACAGAGAGCAGCAAUCCAAGACACUUAUGGGUGCAUUAACUGGGAUGUGAAAUUCCUGCCCCUUGGAGAAACUACAGAGAGCCAGCAACUGAAAAAAGAAAAACUUAAGAUGAUGUUUCAGAAAACUGAUGCAAAUCCUGAAGAAGUCAAAAAUCUAAUGAAACUGACUUUCUACACACAGCGUAAACAAGUCAACCAGGGAAAAACUAUAAAAUACCUCAUGGAAGAAUGGCCAUUUUGGUUUAGAGAACUUGGCAUGGCAGUCCACUUCAAGGAACUCACUGGAAUUGGACUUAAUGAAACUUUGAUACGCAACGUGGAUCUGAAGGGGGAGCGGCUCCUGAACUACAUGAAUACUGUCUGUGCGAACAAGAACAAAAAGCUCCUACAGGCUGUAACCAAGCUUAAAGUGGUGAGGGGGGAGCUGACUGGUUGCUCUGAAGACGUCAAAGACAUGGUGCUACUUCUGCUGUCCUACUUUGAUGAGAAAGAAGAUGCGAUGUUCUGUUAUGUGGAGGACACAUGCCUGGCAGGGGAAGUACAGAUGGACCAGCUUUACUUGACUCCCACAAUUGUGGUGUGUGGACGGUCCUGCUAUUCUUCUAAACGGUUUAUGCUGAGCGUGGACCGAAACAUUGUGCACGACAACAUCACCUCCUUCAUUUCUGCCCUGUGCAUGAUGUUCGGGAGCUAUUAUUGCUUCAACAUUCAUUACCCAUCACAGCUGGCAUCAACCCUGGAGUUUCUGCAGAGAUGUUUUUUCUCCAUCAAUCCAGAGAAGGGCACUAAAGUGGAGAAGACAAACACAUCCCGUCUUCACGUGAAGCCAAGAGUCCUUACCUUGAUACAGGAACUUUCAGAUUAUGAAUGGCGUGAUGUCUGAACAUGGACUAAACACACUAACAGUUAUUUAAGGGGCCACACUCACAGCAUGAAGGUUUAUUUCAGCCCUUUAUCAGGUCAGUUCUUCAAGCUUAAGAGGCACAGAAAAUUUUCAGACAAUGUUAUUCUGUUCUGUAUGAUUGUUGGUUAUGUAAUUCCUCAUUUGCAUUCCUGUACCUUAAUUUGAAAAAGAUAUAUUUAUAUUAGUACAAUUGUUCUAUUUUGAAAAGGCAAUACAGCAAUUCUUAUUGGCUGUUUAAAAAUUCUUACAUUUAUUAAUUAAAAGUAGUGCCAGGGGUUCUGCCAUUGUGUUUUUUUAUGAACACAUUUUAUUGAAACAAUCUGUGUUUCAGACUGAUGUAACAGUUCAUUGUUCCUUAAGAUCAAUAAAUAAUUAAAUUGUAAA